AGCUUUGCACAAUGGUAGUAUUGUAGCCAGUGAUGUUUAUUCGAGGUAUGAUUAUGGCUAAUUAAAAAUUUCCCAAAAUAAGGAUAAGAGAACAAGGUGAUAAUUUGAUUAUAUUUAGACUUUAGAAACAUUUUCUUAUG
rnacentral:snRNA from 1 species